AUACCAUUCGUACACCGCAGUUCUGAGCACGCCGUCCGCGCCCACCUGACAGCUGCUUGCUACGUUUUGUCAGCC
rnacentral:sRNA from 1 species